CUACUCUCUGUGCCAGGGUGAGGCUACCGAUCUCAUUCUCCUGGAGUGUGUGAGUGUGUGAGUGGAGUUAGGAGGCGAGGAUGGAGAAAGAGGCGGUUAGUGGAGAGGAGCGAGAGGAAGGAUGCAUGAAAGAGAGUGUGUGUGAGAUCAGAGCUGGGGAAGCUCGUGGAAGCGACAGGACACAAUCAGCACCACUGUCUGCAAAGAUCAUGAGGGUUUCCGAAGGCCGUCAGAAUGGCUCUUCCUCCAUGAUGUUACAAGAGACUGAGUGCAUCCUCAAAUGUGUAAGUGUAUUGCAAUAAUAAUAAUAAUAAUAAUAAUUAUCAUUAUUAUUAUUAAAUAUUAUUAUUAUUAUUAUUAUUAUAUCAGAUUUUCUUCAUCUGUUAAUGCACACCUUGCAUGAAACCAAGUAUGCUUUAUUUCUAAACAAAAAAGUUAAUGUAAAUUAUUUCUGGAGGUUCCUCUUUUUAUCAUUAAGAACAGCAGCUGAAGAGUCUUUGUCCUGUUUCUAGUUCAAAUACCUCAAAAUUCCUAAAUCAAGAAGCUUUUUCAAGACAAGUAAUAAAUAUUGUUUUUUUCAAAAAUAAUUAAUCAAAAUUAAGUGAGUUUUUCUCUUAAAACAAGCUAAAUAUUCAAUGGGGUAUAAGUGGAAAAACGUUAUUCCAAACUAAAACCAAGAUUAUCUUGCUUACCCUAUUGAAUAUAUGGGGAAUCUUUAGGUAGGCUAUUUGCUCAGGGUUAAUUAUGGCAUGCUUCCAAGGUUUUAACCAUAGAGGCGGCAGACGUCUUCUUGCCAAUAAUUGAAAAAGUUCUGUAAAAUUUUAAUGAGAAACCCAGAGGAAAUAAUUUUUGCAGCAUGAAAGUAUUUUUUAUUAUACUCAAUAUUUUUUGAUUUUAAAAAAGUCUUUGAAAGUAUGUAAAAUCUUAUACUGUUGUGACGGUAAUCACAAGGAUACAAGAUUUUACUAGCAUACUU
rnacentral:lncRNA from 1 species